rnacentral:lncRNA from 1 species
ACACAAUAUUAUUUAUAUUUUUAAUUAUUUAAGUGGUCUGCUUAAAAUUUCGUUACUUUUUGAUGUAACUGUAUUAUCUAAUUUUUAUUUAUUUUUCUUUGUGGUUAAUUGAUUACAGAUUCUAAUCAAGUGGAAGAAACUCUUCCCAUUAUUAUUCGACCAUCUAUCUCAAUGAAAAGUUAAUUUUUUAAUAUUUAGUAAUUAUCUUAUUCUAAUAUUUUUGUGAAAUUUAAUUGUUAUUUUAGAUAUUCAACUAUUAUAUUUUUCUCUCAUAACGUAAAUCAUCUUCCAUUUCAUAUCAUUAGGACCUAAAUUGAAUAAGAAAAAUUCAAUAUCUUUUGAAGAGCAAUGUUCUUAUCUUAAACACAUCCCUCAAAGGGUGUUUCCCAAUGGAUAUGUCCGAGGUGCUAAGAAUUGUAAGUACUUAAAUUCUUCUUUCAAUUGAUAUUGAAUUAAAACAUUUUUUCUUAUUUAAUUGUUUGCAAUUUCUUGUUAUUGCAUUUCAUUGGUUAGUCCAAUCACGUUGUUGUUUUAAUGAAUAUAUAUCUACAUUAAAUGAUGUUCGUGAUAUUUUUCCUCCUGUUUUUUUUUAUCAAAAUUAAGACUUUAGGAUUUGAUCAAUUUCUUCAAUCUGUGGAUUUGAAUGUUAAUUUCUAUCAUUUAGACGAUUUAAUCGGUAGAUAUAUUGGUAAUUACCAAUUUCAUCUGAAGGAUAAAAUUGUUAUGGCUUCAUCGAAAGACAUUGGGUACAUAUUUUCAUACCAUUUUUUGGGUCUGUAAUCCAAGUUGUUAGAAUAGAUGAUGUUGAUUAUGCUACUCCGUUAUAUGGCGUAAAUACUUCAAUGUCAAACAAGUGACUAGGUGUGUUAUUUAUUUUAUAUACUCUCUUUCUAUAUAAUUUUCAAAUGUUCACAUAAGUUUUCAUAAUUACUACAGUGCCAUGGUUAAAGAUGUAUUUGUUGGAUCGUGAUCUGAGUCUAUAAGGGAGGGAUAAUAGUCUCUUUUCGAUUUAUACAGGUUGAUUGCGGAAUUACUUGUAAACACUUAAGAAACAAAUGGUAGAACAAUAAUAGUAUUAUAACUUUUAUAAUUAUUACUCUUCAAAGCUUACUGCAGUAUAUCAAUACUGAGUCAACUUAUUUGAUAGUGUUGUAAAUAACUAUAGUAUAUAAAUACUAAGUUAUAUUGCAAACACAAAUUAUAUAAUAGAGUAAAUAACCAGAUAACUGGAUAUAUUUGAUAAACAAGUUAUAAAGUAAAUGACCAGAUAACUGGAUAUAUAUUUGAUAAGUAAAUGCUUGAAAGGAUUUAAGACAAAUAAUAUAACCUUAAUGACCAGAUAACUGGAUGAGGAAUCUGCGUAAAGUAGUCAACCUCUGUUUUGACCAGAUAACUGGAAGAGGGAUCCUUUUCAAUUUAGUGUUGUUUUAGUUGUUUUUAUAAGAAAGAUAAAACUAAAGUUAACAAAGAACAACACAAGAGAUUUAUACUGGUUCACCCAAAUAAAGGCUAAUCCAGUUCCGACCAACUGUCGGAAUUCACUAUCCUAAAUGUUAUGACAAAACCUUAGAGUAUCAAGGAAACUUUUUUAAACCUCUCUAAGCUUUAAGGCUAACUUCGCUUAAGAACCAAUCUUUUACGGGUAGACUCACACCUUAGAGUAUCAAGGGCACUCUUAAGAACCUUUAACUUUUACGAGUAAGUUAGUUCUUAGAGUAUCAAGGAACUCUUAAAAACCUCUCUAAGCUUUAAGGCUACUUCGCUUAGGAACCAUUCUUUUACGGGUAGAUUCACACCUUAGAGUAUCAAGGGCACUCUUAAGAACCUCUAACUUUUACGGGUAAGUUGUACCUUAGAGUAUCAAGGAACUCUUAAAAACCUAGAAAUCUUUCAAGGUAGAUUCGACCUAAGAGUUUUUCCGGAAACUCUAUAGAACCAAACUAAAGCUUUAUGGUUGAGCUCAAAAAUCUUCUCCCACACUUUGGUACUAUUAAGACAACUCUCUCAACCAAAGUAGACACACACAAAAGGUGAUUAAAGGAGUGGAAUAUUAAAGCAAACAACACUUCUUACUUGUAGAGAUGAACAAAAGGAUUAAAAGAAGAAGAUGAAGAGCUUUUGAAGCUUUGGAAAGCUAAGACACUUGAGCACUUGGAAGUUUGGAGGCAAAAACGUGGGAGAGCUCAAAUGUGGAGUGAAAAACUCUUUUGAUUUGCUU